rnacentral:rRNA from 1 species
UCCUACGGGACGCAGCAGUGAGGAAUUUUCGGCAAUGGGGGCAACCCUGACCGAGCAACGCCGCGUGCAGGAGGACGCUUUUCGGAGUGUAAACUGCUUUUAUCGGGGAAGAACAUAGACGGUACCCGGUGAAUAAGCCCCGGCUAACUACGUGCCAGCAGCCGCGGUAAUACGUAGGGGGCGAGCGUUGUCCGGAGUUACUGGGCGUAAAGGGCAUGUAGGCGGUCUGCCAAGUUCGGAGUGACAGUCACCAGCUUAACUGGUGAAGGACUUUGAAAACUGGCGGACUUGAGAGCGAAAGAGGGACACGGAAUUCCGGGUGGAGCAGUGAAAUGCGUAGAGAUCCGGAGGAACACCAAAGGCGAAGGCAGUGUCCUGGCUCGUUUCUGACGCUGAGGUGCGAAAGCCAGGGGAGCGAACGGGAUUAGAUACCCCGGU